AGUAUAUGGUGGAGAGAGGAUUCAAGAAUCCAUGAUUAAUAACAGAGCGCUAUAUGUGGAGCAAGGAAUUACAGAUUAAGAGGCUUUGUACUUUUGUUGACCACACAGCAUUGACUCCAUUGACUGAGAAUGGUGAAAACAGAGGAAGCUUCCUAGUUAUCGUUUCAUGGAAACUUUAUGAACCAUUGUGACUCCUCCGCUGUCUUAUGUGGAAAUGAUAAUGAUUCCUGUUCCCACUUCACAUC